rnacentral:rRNA from 1 species
UAGGGAAUCUUCCACAAUGGACGAAAGUACUGAUGGAGCAACGCCGCGUGAGUGAAGAAGGGUUUCGGCUCGUAAAACUCUGUUGUUAAAGAAGAACAUAUCUGAGAGUAACUGUUCAGGUAUUGACGGUAUUUAACCAGAAAGCCACGGCUAACUACGCGCCAG